rnacentral:rRNA from 1 species
UUAGUAAUGGCGAAUGAACAGGGAUCAGCUCAGUAUGGAAAUCGGGGCUUCCCAGCCUUGAAUUGUAGUCUCAAGAGGUAUCGCCAACGGAGGCGCAGAUGUAAGCCUCUUGGAAAAGAGCAUCAAUGAGGGUGAGAAUCCCGUUUGUCAUCUGCAGUCCCCCGUGCACGGUGUAUCUUCUAAGAGUCGCGUUCCUCGGGAUUGGAGCGUAAAGUGGGUGGUAAAUUUCAUCUAAGGCUAAAUAUGGGUUCGAGACCGAUAGCAAACAAGUACCAUGAGGGAAAGAUGAAAAGGACUUUGAAAAGAGAGUUAAAAGUGCCUGAAAUUGCUGAAAGGGAAGCGAAUGGAACCAGUGCUCUUGGCGAGAUUGUUGUGCGCUAUGGUGAUUGCUGGCUGCUUCAGCGCAAGCGGGGUAGUUGGUACUGAGCCUGCCGCGCGCAGUGUUUCUUACCUUGUGCGUCACCGUCGGUUCACAGGCGAGGAUACUUCUGAGGACAUGGUAACUCUUCCACGGAGGUGUGAAUGUCUUCUGGUAAUACUCGUUUGUAGACCGCUCACCUUCGGGUUACGAUGACUAAAUGGUUCUAUUCGACCCGUCUUG